AACUACUUUUGUAUGGGGAUAAAGUCAGUCACGUGUGAUUGUUUGCAGGUACCAUACGAAUAAGGACCGGCUAAUUCCGUGCCAGCAGCCGCGGUAAUACGGAAGGUCCGGGCGUUAUCCGGAUUUAUUGGGUUUAAAGGGAGCGUAGGCUGGAGAUUAAGUGUGUUGUGAAAUGUAGACGCUCAACGUCUGACUUGCAGCGCAUACUGGUUUCCUUGAGUACGCACAACGUUGGCGGAAUUCGUCGUGUAGCGGUGAAAUGCUUAGAUAUGACGAAGAACUCCGAUUGCGAAGGCAGCUGACGGGAGCGCAACUGACGCUGAAGCUCGAAGGUGCGGGUAUCGAACAGGAUUAGAUACCCUGGUAGUCC
rnacentral:rRNA from 1 species